UACGGAGGGGGCUAGCGUUGUUCGGAAUUACUGGGCGUAAAGCGCGCGUAGGCGGCUUUGUAAGUUAGAGGUGAAAGCCCGGAGCUCAACUCCGGAAUUGCCUUUAAGACUGCAUCGCUAGAAUCAUGGAGAGGUUAGUGGAAUUCCGAGUGUAGAGGUGAAAUUCGUAGAUAUUGGGAAGAACACCGGUGGCGAAGGCGGCUCUCUGGACCGAGACUGACGCUGAGGCGCGAAAGCGUGGGGAGCAAACAGG
rnacentral:rRNA from 1 species